CAGCCUGACACAAACAGACGCACAAAUCAAGCAUGCGGCGGCGGCGGCGGCGGCAGCUGCUAAUGAGGGACGGACGAGCGGCGCUGCAGCUGAUUACAGGGCGGGAGGCCAACGGGCCGGCGCUUUCAUCUGGGAGGGAACGCUCCGAUGGUGGCGAGCGCUGGAAUGAACCUAAGUUUCAGCUUCACGUUUUCAGGUCAGAAAUGUCCUGAAAACAGAUUCCAUCGACUGAUUCUACAUCCUAACGAGCUCCUGUUCAUAGAGGUCCACCACAGGCCUCACAGCUCCACGACCUGUUCCUGCACCUCCAGACGUGUUUAGGGUGUUGGUGCUCCACCCCAUGCCCCCCCCGUCAGCUCAGAGCUCACAGUGACGUACAGGAAGUCCCCCCCUCCCUGGCAGAGUUGCACCAGAUCCGUCGUGAUCCGGAGGAACCACAGCCGGAGGAGGAAGUGAAAGCUGAACCCUCAGAUCAGACGCUCCUGUUGGAGUCGUGACGUCACCAAAUGUCAAACAGUGACAGGAAGUUCAGAGGAAGGAGCUCAGACUGACCCGGUUCUGGUUCUGGAUUCAUUCUGCAUCCAAACCAACUGUAUGUGUGUAAGCAUGCAUGUUUUUGUAGGUGUGUGCACGUGUGUACCUGUGCACGUGUGUGUGCAUGUGUGUGCUCGUUUACUCUGCA